UAUAACUGUUGCUUCGGCGGGUAGGGUCUCCGCGACCCUCCCGGCCUCCCGCCUCCGGGCGGGUCGGCGCCCGCCGGAGGAUAACCAAACUCUGAUUUAACGACGUUUCUUCUGAGUGGUACAAGCAAAUAAUCAAAACUUUUAACAACGGAUCUCUUGGUUCUGGCAUCGAUGAAGAACGCAGCGAAAUGCGAUAAGUAAUGUGAAUUGCAGAAUUCAGUGAAUCAUCGAAUCUUUGAACGCACAUUGCGCCCGCCAGCAUUCUGGCGGGCAUGCCUGUUCGAGCGUCAUUUCAACCCUCAAGCUCUGCUUGGUGUUGGGGCCCUACAGCUGAUGUAGGCCCUCAAAGGUAGUGGCGGACCCUCCCGGAGCCUCCUUUGCGUAGUAACUUUACGUCUCGCACUGGGAUCCGGAGGGACUCUUGCCGUAAAACCCCCCAAUUUUCCAAAGGUUGACCUCGGAUCAGGUAGGAAUACCCGCUGAACUUAAGC
rnacentral:rRNA from 1 species